rnacentral:rRNA from 1 species
GACGAACGCUGGCGGCGCGCUUAACACAUGCAAGUCGAGCGAAGCGGCGGUCGGGUGAGGAACACGUGAGUAACCUGCCUAAGACAUUGGGAUAGACUCGGGAAACCGGGAUUAAUACCAAAAGGUCGAAGAUGGACUCGCGUCCCAUUAGCUAGUUGGUGAGGUAACGGCCCACCAAGGCGACGAUGGGUAGCCGGCCUGAGAGGGUGAACGGCCACAUUGGAACUGAGAAACAGUCCGAAAUCUACGGGAGGCAGCAGUGGGGAAUAUUGCACAAUGGAGGGAACUCGGAUGCAGCGACGCCGGGUGAACAAAGAAGGCUUUCGAGUCGUAAAGUUCUUUUAUAUCGGUAGCGGUACCAUAAGAAAAAGCCCCGGCUAACUACGUGCCAGCCGCCGCGGUAAUUC